GGCGGCGUGCCUAACACAUGCAAGUCGAACGGAUGCUUUCGGGUGGUAACACCUGGAGGUGUUAGUAGCGAACGGGUGAGUAACACGUGAGGAACCUGCCCUGGAGACGGGGAUAACCGUCGGAAACGAUGGCUAAUACCCGAUACCUUCACUGGACCGCAUGGCCCGGUGAAGAAAUGGAUUCCGCUCUGGGAGGGCCUCGCGGCCUAUCAGCUAGUUGGUGAGGUAACGGCUCACCAAGGCGUCGACGGUAGCUGGUCUGAGAGGAUGAUCAGCCACACUGGGACUGAGACACGGCCCAGACUCCUACGGGAGGCAGCAGUGGGGAAUCUUGCGCAAUGGGCGAAAGCCUGACGCAGCAACGCCGCGUGGGGGACGAAGGCUCUCGGGUUGUAAACCCCUUUCAGCAGGAACGAAAUUGACGGUACCUGCAGAAGAAGCCCCGGCUAACUACGCGCCAGCAGCCGCGGUAAUACGUAGGGGGCGAGCGUUGUCCGGAUUUAUUGGGCGUAAAGAGCUCGUAGGCGGUUCGGUAAGUCGGUUGUGAAAACCCUGGGCUCAACCCAGUGAUUGCAUCCGAUACUGCCGUGACUUGAGUCUGGUAGGGGAUCACGGAAUUCCUGGUGUAGCGGUGAAAUGCGCAGAUAUCAGGAGGAACACCAGUGGCGAAGGCGGUGAUCUAGGCCAGUACUGACGCUGAGGAGCGAAAGCGUGGGGAGCAAACAGGAUCAGAUACCCUGGUAGUCCACGCCGUAAACGUUGGGCACUAGGUGUGGGGUCACAUCAACGGACUCCGUGCCGCAGCUAACGCAAUAAGUGCCCCGCCUGGGGAGUACGGUCGCAAGACUAAAACUCAAAGGAAUUGACGGGGGCCCGCACAAGCGGCAGAGCAUGUUGCUUAAUUCGAUGCAACGCGAAGAACCUUACCUGGGCUUGACAUGUACCGAAAAGCUGUAGAGAUACGGUGUCCUUCGGGGCGGUACACAGGUGGUGCAUGGCUGUCGUCAGCUCGUGUCGUGAGAUGUUGGGUUAAGUCCCGCAACGAGCGCAACCCUUGUCCGAUGUUGCCAGCACGUAAUGGUGGGAACUCGUCGGAGACUGCCGGGGUCAACUCGGAGGAAGGUGGGGAUGAGGUCAAGUCAUCAUGCCCCUUAUGUCCAGGGCUGCAAACAUGCUACAAUGGCCGGUACAACGGGUCGCAAAGCCGUGAGGUGGAGCUAAUCCCCAAAGCCGGUCUCAGUUCGGAUCGAAGUCUGCAACUCGACUUCGUGAAGUUGGAGUCGCUAGUAAUCCCGGAUCAGCAUUGCCGGGGUGAAUACGUUCCCGGGCCUUGUACACACCGCCCGUCACACCACGAAAGUCGGCAACACCCGAAGCCAGUGGCCUAACCGCAAGGAAGGAGCUGUCGAAGGUGGGGUCGGUGAUUGGGGUGAAGUCGGAACAAGGUA
rnacentral:rRNA from 1 species